GACGAACGCUGGCGGCGUGCUUAACACAUGCAAGUCGAACGGAAAGGCCCUGCUUUUGUGGGGUGCUCGAGUGGCGAACGGGUGAGUAACACGUGAGUAACCUGCCCUUGACUUUGGGAUAACUUCAGGAAACUGGGGCUAAUACCAGAUAGGAGCUCCUGCUGCAUGGUGGGGGUUGGAAAGUUUCGGCGGUUGGGGAUGGACUCGCGGCUUAUCAGCUUGUUGGUGGGGUAGUGGCUUACCAAGGCUUUGACGGAUAGCCGGCCUGAGAGGGUGACCGGCCACAUGGGGACUGAGAUACGGCCCAGACUCCUACGGGAGGCAGCAGUGGGGAAUAUUGCACAAUGGGCGGAAGCCUGAUGCAGCAACGCCGCGUGCGGGAUGACGGCCUUCGGGUUGUAAACCGCUUUCGCCUGUGACGAAGCGUGAGUGACGGUAAUGGGUAAAGAAGCACCGGCUAACUACGUG
rnacentral:rRNA from 1 species